GGAGUCAUGUCAAUAGAGGCACAAAUAUGGAAGCGCUACGGGUCGAAGGUAAACACGGAAGCUAUGUGUAAAUUCGGACGCACGAGGUAAGCAAACUCCCGGACUCCAUCUUUAAUAGUAAUGGAAUUAAUUGUAUGAUAAUCGUUAAAGGUUAUGUUGAAAUUUGUUAUUGAAGAAGAUAUCGAAUGAGUAGUAUUAAGUAAGUGAUUUCCGCAAUCACUUCUUAGUUGUUUACGUAGAGUUAUGUGCUAGUUAAUUAAGCAUAAUAAUUGAGACAAAUAAUGGAUGGGUUGUAUGAAACCAAUGAUUUUCGCUAAGUAGAUGUAACGGGUCAAAAUUGAGGUCUUGAUGUUAUAAUGGAAUGAAGAAUAAGAAAUGUCUACGGUAUGAUAACCGGGUAACAGGUAGGAUCGCGCAUAAGCACGUUAAUGGGUAAGUGGAAGUACGGAUAAUGUAAAAGUUUUAUGGCUAUGAUGUUCUUGUAAGUUUUAGGCUAAAUCGAAUGUGUUGUUUGAUAAAAACCAUGAGCGGGUCGAAUAAUUCGUAGAUGAAUAAUAAGCCGAAGACGUAUAAGUUAAGAAUUUCCUUAACCCGGAUGUUGGAUUUCAAGUUCACAUGAUAGAAUGUUAAUUUCCAAUCAUGUAGGAAGAAACGUGACGCAAAACGGAUGAAAAAUGAGAGAGAGUUAUGUCCGUUUCGGUAAGAAUUAAUGGCUAGGAAAAGUGCAGAGCUGACACGGCCGGGUGGUGAGCUGACACGGCCGGGUGAAGGUUCUGUCAAAAAUAUUAUUUAUGUGAUUUAUGCAUCGUAGGCUUCGGUAUAUUAUCCGUGGACUACGGUGGGCCUCCCAAAUAUGAUUUCGAGUGUUCCCUUGACGAUUAUAAGUUUGGUCACACGCCCAACAGGGACACUCCCUAGGUGGUAAUUUGGGGGUGUGACAGUAAACCCAAGUCUAAGCCUCAUGUAAUUUAUAUAAGAGUAUGAUAGAUGUAUGUAAUGAAGUUAGAUAUGUAUUACAUGUAAAUGGUAUACAAGAAUGCGUACGGAACACGUAGGUAUGAAUACAUGAUUGUAGGUAUGAUUGAAUGUAUAUAGGUAUGUAGAUGUGUAUGAUUGUAGGUAUGUAUGUGUGCAAGUAUGUGCGAAUGCAUGAUUUGGAUGCAUUUGAGAAUUAACGUUACUAACAAUGCCCUUGAGUUUGGGAUGUAAUGCAGGAAUGAGAAUGUCGGAUUCUUAUGAAGUUGAAGCCGAACUCGGAACAAGAGACUUAGAGAGAAUAGUCGAAUGAAUCGAAGCUAUAUUGUCGAAUAUUAUACGAAAGUUAAUUGUGUGAGAAUAGUGUUGUAUGAGGUUGUCAAUGACUAAUGAUUAAGUUGUAUGUGAUGUUCACAGGUACCAUACGGAUUUCUUCUUCUACUAACGAAGAUGAGCGGACGAAGAUCGAGUCAAAAGCAAGGAUUGUACGGGAAGGACCAGUCACAUAGUUUAACAAAUGUAGGUCCGAAGUAUUAAUAUAAUGGAACGUGGUAAAUCCUUUUUAAUGAGUGUAUGACAUUUGGUAUUCGAACUUUCCUGUAAGUACUAUGUCUAUUAAAGAACGAAAUUUUGG
rnacentral:lncRNA from 1 species